UACACUCCGUCCUAACUAUUAUCCAACAUAAAGUGUUUAUAAAGGGCACACAACUAGGCUAAUGUUUUCUGAAGUGAGACCGCAUAAUACACCCGUUUACUGCAGCAUCUUCAGGAGAGGAUAGUGAAGAAGAGAGUGGGGGGAAAAGGUCUGAAGUUUGUUUUUACUACUUGGUGAUAGAGUGUGCGGUGAUAAUCACAACAGAACUUGGAUGAAAUGAGAACUGGCUCACUUCAGACUGCGCUCUUCUUCCUUCUGCGGCCAGCCAGGACUUUAGGACAAUAUCCACCCAGCUCUACACCGGCUCCAGCUCUGGCUACGACCGGAUCAUUUACAAGGAACUGGAUUACAAACUUUCUGCAAACCGUCCAGUCAGUCCUGGUUUAACAAAUUCUGGUCUGACAUGACCAUCUAAAGUGAAGCUGUUUAAACUAUCCACUGGAUCGUACUGCAGGGUGUCAAAUCAGACAUGAUGGAAAAUACAGCUGAGGUCACACUAAGAAUAGCCGAUUCCCUGACCUCAGCUUCUCCAGCGAUGUCUGCAACAUUAUAAGGUGAAAUAUCCACUAUUACAUGCUAACGACAAGAGACGAGUCUACAGAGGCAACGGCACACAGGACAACUGGCUCAGGGAAAGGCAUCUGGAUCGCAGCGGCUGUUGUCACAUACAAGCCACUUACAAUCAUCCUGGAGAAGAAAAGGUUGCUUUGUUUUUGUGAUAAAAAAUGCAGCG